GACGAACGCUGGCGGCGUGCUUAACACAUGCAAGUCGAACGGAAAGGCCCUGCUUUUGUGGGGUGCUCGAGUGGCGAACGGGUGAGUAACACGUGAGUAACCUGCCCUUGACUUUGGGAUAACUUCAGGAAACUGGGGCUAAUACCGGAUAGGAGCUCCUGCUGCAUGGUGGGGGUUGGAAAGUUUCGGCGGUUGGGGAUGGACUCGCGGCUUAUCAGCGUGUUGGUGGGGUAGUGGCUUACCAAGGCUUUGACGGGUAGCCGGCCUGAGAGGGUGACCGGCCACAUUGGGACUGAGAUACGGCCCAGACUCCUACGGGAGGCAGGAGUGGGGAAUAUUGCACAAUGGGCGGAAGCCUGAUGCAGCAACGCCGCGUGCGGGAUGACGGCCUUCGGGUUGUAAACCGCUUUCGCCUGUGACGAAGCGUGAGUGACGGUAAUGGGUCAGGAAGCGCCGGCUAACUACGUG
rnacentral:rRNA from 1 species